UUUUGGAGAAAACUAAAAGCAAAUUCACCCAAAACAUCCAAAUCCAUUGUUGCACUUACACUUUUUCCCAUUUUCCAAAAUUCAUAAAAGGUGUUCCUAUAUAGGUUAGCUCAUUCUUUCAAGUCAUAUGUAUUCAGAGUGACCCCUACUAUCACUGUAUUAAUAUUCAAGGCAUUUUACUGUAUAGUUUUGCAGAAAACUAAAAGCAAAUUCCCCCAAAACAUCAAUCUCCAUUUUUGCACUUAAACUUUUUCCCAUUUUCAAAAAUUCAUAUAAAGUGUUCCUUUAUAGGUUAGCUCAUUCUUUUAAUGUAUAUGUAUUCAGAGUGACCCAGACUACCACUGUAUUAAUUAUCAAGGGAUUUUACUGUAUAGUUUUGGAGAAAACUAAAAGCAAAUUCACCCAAAACAUCCAAAUCCAUUGUUGCACUUACACUUUUUCCCAUUUUCCAAAAUUCAUAAAAGGUGUUCCUAUAUAGGUUAGCUCAUUCUUUCAAGUCAUAUGUAUUCAGAGUGACCCCUACUAUCACUGUAUUAAUAUUCAAGGCAUUUUACUGUAUAGUUUUGCAGAAAACUAAAAGCAAAUUCCCCCAAAACAUCAAUCUCCAUUUUUGCACUUAAACUUUUUCCCAUUUUCAAAAAUUCAUAUAAAGUGUUCCUUUAUAGGUUAGCUCAUUCUUUUAAUGUAUAUGUAUUCAGAGUGACCCAGACUACCACUGUAUUAAUUAUCAAGGGAUUUUACUGUAUAGUUUUGGAGAAAACUAAAAGCAAAUUCACCCAAAACAUCCAAAUCCAUUGUUGCACUUACACUUUUUCCCAUUUUCCAAAAUUCAUAAAAGGUGUUCCUAUAUAGGUUAGCUCAUUCUUUCAAGUCAUAUGUAUUCAGAGUGACCCCUACUAUCACUGUAUUAAUAUUCAAGGCAUUUUACUGUAUAGUUUUGCAGAAAACUAAAAGCAAAUUCCCCCAAAACAUCAAUCUCCAUUUUUGCACUUAAACUUUUUCCCAUUUUCAAAAAUUCAUAUAAAGUGUUCCUUUAUAGGUUAGCUCAUUCUUUUAAUGUAUAUGUAUUCAGAGUGACCCAGACUACCACUGUAUUAAUUAUCAAGGGAUUUUACUGUAUAGUUUUGGAGAAAACUAAAAGCAAAUUCACCCAAAACAUCCAAAUCCAUUGUUGCACUUACACUUUUUCCCAUUUUCCAAAAUUCAUAAAAGGUGUUCCUAUAUAGGUUAGCUCAUUCUUUCAAGUCAUAUGUAUUCAGAGUGACCCCUACUAUCACUGUAUUAAUAUUCAAGGCAUUUUACUGUAUAGUUUUGCAGAAAACUAAAAGCAAAUUCCCCCAAAACAUCAAUCUCCAUUUUUGCACUUAAACUUUUUCCCAUUUUCAAAAAUUCAUAUAAAGUGUUCCUUUAUAGGUUAGCUCAUUCUUUUAAUGUAUAUGUAUUCAGAGUGACCCAGACUACCACUGUAUUAAUUAUCAAGGGAUUUUACUGUAUAGUUUUGGAGAAAACUAAAAGCAAAUUCACCCAAAACAUCCAAAUCCAUUGUUGCACUUACACUUUUUCCCAUUUUCCAAAAUUCAUAAAAGGUGUUCCUAUAUAGGUUAGCUCAUUCUUUCAAGUCAUAUGUAUUCAGAGUGACCCCUACUAUCACUGUAUUAAUAUUCAAGGCAUUUUACUGUAUAGUUUUGGAGAAAACUAAAAGCAAAUUCCCGCAAAACAUCAAUCUCCAUUGUUGC